AUUGAACGCUGGCGGCAGGCCUAACACAUGUAAGUCGAACGAGUGGCGGACGGGUGAGUAAUGUCUGGGAAACUGCCUGAUGGAGGGGGAUAACUACUGGAAACGGUAGCUAAUACCGCAUACCAUCGGAUGUGCCCAGAUGGGAUUAGCUAGUAGGUGGGGGAAAGGCUCACCUAGGCGACGCUCCCUAGCUGGUCUGAGAGGAUGACCAGCCACACUGGAACGGAGACACGGUCCAGACUCAUACGGGAGGCAGCAGUGGGGAAUAUGGCACAAGGGGCGAAAGCCUGAUGCAGCCAUGCCGCGUGUAUGAAGAAGGCCUUCGGGUUGUAAAGUACUUUCAGCGGGGAGGCGUGACCCGCAGAAGAAGCACCGGCUAACUCCGUGCCAGCAGCCGCGGUAAUUC
rnacentral:rRNA from 1 species